rnacentral:tRNA from 2 species
GUAUUACGUAGCUUAAUAGUAAAGCAUAGUGCUGAAGCCACUAAAAUGAGCUUAACGCUCCAAAUACG